rnacentral:rRNA from 1 species
CACGCCGUAAACGAUGGAUGCUAGCUGUGGGGGGUAUCGACCCCCUCCGUAGCGAAGCUAACGCGUUAAGCAUCCCGCCUGUGGAGUACGGCCGCAAGGCUAAAACAUAAAGGAAUUGACGGGGACCCGCACAAGUAGUGGAUCGUGUUCUUUAAUUCGAUGAUAAACGAAGAACCUUACCAGGGCUUGACAUCCCGAGAAUUUUGCCGAAAGGCGAGAGUGCUUUAUUGAACUCGGUGACAGAUCU